rnacentral:rRNA from 1 species
GGAUGGGGGGUGCGACGUAUCAGAUAGUUGUGAGGUAAUGGCUCACCAAGUCAAUGACGCGUAGCUGUACUGAGAGGUAGAACAGCCACAAUGGGACUGAGACACGGCCCAUACUCCUACGGGGAGGCAGCAGUAGGGAAUUUUCAACAAUGGGCGAAAGCCUUAUGAAGCAAUGCCGCGUGAACGAUGAAGGUCUUAUAGAUUGUAAAAGUUCUUUUAUAUGGGAAGAAACGCUAAGAUAGGAAAUGAUUUAGUUUGACUGUACCAUUUGAAUAAGUAUCGGCUAACUAUGUGCCAGCAGCCGCGGUAAU